UGGGCAACCUGCCCUCAGCUCUGGGAUAACUCCAAGAAAUUGGGGCUAAUACCGGAUAUGACCGCUGACCGCAUGGUCUGGUGGUGGAAAGAUUUGUCGGCUGGGGAUGGGCCCGCGGCCUAUCAGCUUGUUGGUGGGGUAGUGGCCUACCAAGGCGACGACGGGUAGCCGGCCUGAGAGGGUGACCGGCCACACUGGGACUGAGACACGGCCCAGACUCCGUACGGGAG
rnacentral:rRNA from 1 species